AUACGUAGGUGGCAAGCGUUGUCCGGUAUUUAGUUGGGCGUAAAGCGAGCGCAGGCGGUUUUUUAAGUCUGAUGUGAAAGCCUUCGGCUCAACCGAAGAAGUGCAUCGGAAACUGGGAAACUUGAGUGCAGAAGAGGACAGUGGAACUCCAUGUGUAGCGGUGAAAUGCGUAGAUAUAUGGAAGAACACCAGUGGCGAAGGCGGCUGCCUGGUCUGUAACUGACGCUGAGGCUCGAAAGUAUGGGUAGC
rnacentral:rRNA from 1 species